GCAGGGGCACAGGUGAUGGCAAUUUCACCUGAGUGACCGGAAGGGGUGGACCCUGGCUGCAGCCCUGCUAGACCCCAUGUAAGGGCUGACUCCCAAGGAGGAAGGAUCUCUAUCUGGAGGUCACCCUUAGUGGAGCCCUUCUGCGCGCCCAGGGUACGGGAAAGCAGUGCGGAGGGAACGUGUGUGGUGAGAUGCUGAGGAGAGAUUGCCUCCCUUGCCCCAGCAGGCUGCUUGUGUCCUGGUGAUGCACGGUGACGAGAAGGGUGCUGUUCUGUGAGUAAGCCUGCCACGUGGGAGUAAUGGCUGUGGCCUUUUGGGCAAGUCUCUGAGGAGAGGUCUUUGGGCAGGCUGGUUGUUUUGCUGGGCAAGUGCCAUUUGAGUUGUUUGUUGCCAUGCUUGGUUGGUGCUUGUUUGAGAAAUAGUGGUCCUCUUGACGAGCAGUGCUCUGGCAGCAGGGGAGUGAGAAAUGUCAUGUCCACCCAGUCUUCUCCACGAGCCUUACGCUGCCUUUCCCCAUUGUCUGUAAAUGGCUGUAGAAAUGGCAGGGGGAGAAGUAGGGAAGAGGGUUUCUGUGCAUCUCUUAGCAGGUGUCAGCUCCUAAGAGCUGGGAGCCCUGCAGAGCGUCCUGGGUUUGUUUUGCUUCCUUGUUGGAGCUGUUGGGAUGCUUUUGUGGGUGCUUUGUGCGUUUGAAGUCCCUGUGAACUCUGCUGAGACCAGUGGUGUC